UACGUAGGGUGCAAGCGUUAAUCGGAAUUACUGGGCGUAAAGCGUGCGCAGGCGGUUGUGCAAGACAGAUGUGAAAUCCCCGGGCUUAACCUGGGAACUGCAUUUGUGACUGCACGGCUAGAGUGUGUCAGAGGGGGGUAGAAUUCCACGUGUAGCAGUGAAAUGCGUAGAUAUGUGGAGGAAUACCGAUGGCGAAGGCAGCCCCCUGGGAUAACACUGACGCUCAUGCACGAAGGCGUGGGGAGCAAACAGG
rnacentral:rRNA from 1 species